rnacentral:rRNA from 1 species
AUUGAACGCUGGCGGCAGGCCUAACACAUGCAAGUCGAGCGGAGCGGGGGGCGGGUGAGUGAUGCCUAUGGCUCAGCCUGGCAGUGGGGGAGAACGUCAGGUAACGGGCGCUGAUACCGCAUACUAUCAGAGGAGCCGAGGUCGGAUUAGCGGGUUGGUGGGGUAAAGGCCUAACAAGGCGCCGUUCCGUAACUGGUCUGAGAGGAUGAUCAGUCACACUGGAACUAAGACGAGGUCCAGAAUCCUACGGGAGGCAGCAGUGGGGAAACUUGGGCAAGGAGCAGAAGCCUGAUCCGACCAUGCCGCGUAUGUGAAGAAGGUCUUCGGAUUGUAGAGGACGUUAAGUUUGGAAGCGUUACCAACAGAAUAAGCACCGGCUAACUCCGUGCCAGCAGCCGCGGUAAUAC